ACACCAGAGCAAUGUCAUGGAGCA
rnacentral:siRNA from 1 species